CAAUAGCGUAUAUUAAAGUUGUUGCAGUUAAAAAGCUCGUAGUUGGAUUUCGGGGCAGCCUGGCUGGUCCGCCGCAAGGCGAGUACUGGUCAGCCGCCCUUCCUCUCGAAAGCCCCGACUGCUCUUCGUUGCAGUGGUCGGGUAGUUCGGGACGUUUACUUUGAAAAAAUUAGAGUGUUCAAGGCAGGCCUACGCCUGAAUACAUUAGCAUGGAACAAUGGAAGAGGACCUCGGUCCUAUUUUGUUGGUUUCCAGGGCCGAAGUAAUGAUUAAGAGGGACAGUUGGGGGCAUUCGUAUUUAAUUGUCAGAGGUGAAAUUCUCGGAUUUAUGAAAGACGAACAACUGCGAAAGCAUUUGCCAAGGAUGUUUUCAUUAA
rnacentral:rRNA from 1 species